rnacentral:lncRNA from 1 species
UCCGCCUUCUUCAUCAAAUUCCACUCUGUGCGCUCUGACCGGGAGUAACCUUUAAUUUCCAUCACAGACCGGCCCCAGCACGCGCCACCUCAACGAGUCCAAUCAAAAGCCAGGGAAUGCCUCCUGUGCAAUAAUACCAUGACGACGCGCCUGUCACUUCCGAGCUGCGAGCGCGACCAAUAUAAGCAGACAGACGAUGAGGGAAUUCAAUUGCAAUUCGUGUAAUUGAAUACCCAAUUCAUGAAAUAAAAGAACGCAUUCCCUUUCGUCGCUGAUACACCAGGUGUUUUAUCCAAGGAGUAAGGUGUUGCUGCCAUUGUCAUCAGAUAAACACACAAGGGCAGAAGAAGAAGGACCAGGAAAUGAAUACCUUGCCCUGUCAGUGGCAGCAGGAUUCAUUCUCUCUCCAACCAAUCACACCUUAGACUUAGAGGAGCUGUCCUGGUGAUAAACUACCUGCUCAGAGCAUAAACCCUGGGACCCUACCUUGGGUUCUAAAGUGAAAUAACUUAUCCCCCCGCA